CCUCUUCGGCCUGCUGCGGUGCCAGGUAGUGGAUGUGCGUAUCGAUGCCACCGGCCGUCAGCAGUCGAUGCUCACCGGCAAUAACCUCGGUACCAGCACCAAUGACCAGGUCGGGGUGAACUCCGUCCUGCGUAUGCGGGUUGCCCGACUUACCAAUUGCGACAAUCUUGCCAUCUCGCAGACCCACGUCUGCCUUGACGACGCCCAGGAGAGCAUCAACAAUAAUCGCGCUCGUAAUAACCGUAUCGGGCGUGCCUUGUGCGCGAGUUGCCUGCGGAUCUUGGGCCAUGCCGUCACGGAUGG
rnacentral:sRNA from 1 species